AUGGAGCGGAUGGCCAGCUCCUAUUUCAAGGAGAUUUUUACAAAAGAUCCUACCCUGGAUCCGAACGAGGUGCUGGACAGUAUCGUUCCUAAGGUUUCAGCAGAGAUGAAUGAGGCCUUGUGUAAACCAUAUACGGAGGAGAUAUCUAAUGCGUUGUUUCAGAUCAGGCCGUUGAAAGCACCAGGCUGUGAUGGUUUUCCGGCCAGGUUCUAUCAGCAGAAUUGGGCUGUUCUCAAGGAGGAGAUAGUGGCAGCAGUGCAGGAGUUUUUUGUCACAGGAAUCAUGCCGGAUGGUGUUAAUGACACGACGAUUGUGUUAAUUCCCAAAGUUCCCCAUCCUAGGGAGCUGAAGGAUUUCCGACCUAUUAGUUUGUGCAAUGUGGUGUAUAAGAUCGUGUCAAAAUGCAUGGUGAAUAGGCUUCGGCCUCUCCUAACUGAGCUUAUCUCCGAAAAUCAGAGUGCAUUCAUUCCUGGGAGGCUCAUCUCUGAUAACUCCAUUAUUGCUUUUGAGUGUAUUCAUCACAUUCAAUCCGCCAAGGAAAAUUCACCAGCUUUAUGUGCUUACAAACUAGAUCUGUCGAAGGCCUAUGACCGUGUGUAUUGGAGUUUCUUGGAGAGGGCGCUUUCUAAGUGGGGCUUCUCUAACCAGUGGAUUUCUCGUGUUAUGGCGUGUGUUACCUCAGUGAAGUACUCUGUUAAAUUUAAUGGCAAGUUAUUGGAGACCUUCUCUCCUUCACGAGGGCUCCACCAAGGUGAUCCGUUAUCCCCUUUCCUCUUCCUUUUUGUGGCUGAUGCUCUUUCUGUCCUUCUAAACAAGUCGAUGAGGGAAGAAGGGCUGCAAGGGGUUAAGAUAUGCAGGGGUGCUCCUGUCAUCUCACAUCUCCUGUUUGCGGACGACUCCCUUUUGUUUUUCCAUGCUUCAGAACAGCAGGCUCUUUUGGUUAAAGGUGUGUUGAACACGUACCCGGCAGCGACUGGACAAUUGAUCAACCAGUUGAAGUGCUCCAUCCUUUUCUCAGAUAACUGCUUGCCAAGUGUGGUUCAGGAGGUUAAAUCUGUUCUGGAGAUUACACAAGAAGUUUUUGAACCCAAGUACUUGGGCCUUCCUGUCCCAGAAGGAAGAAUUCACAAAGGAAACUUUGAAACUAUCCAAGAGCGUUUACGUAAGAAGCUUAUAGAUUAG
rnacentral:rRNA from 1 species